GUCAUUACUGAAGUUUAGGUAAGUUCUCAUUUUCACCAUCAAUAUUUAUAAUGUUACAAAAUAAUCAGUAACAUUGUUUUAUUUGUAACAAAAACCACGGAGCUGUUAAGAAAAGAACUUCCACUGCUUCUAUUUUUAUUGCCUUUUCCCUUAAAACCAGCAAUCUCAACACUGAAUUAAAAGUGGAAGAAGUAUGCACCAACAUCUGAACGUUGUAUGAGUGGAGAUAUUUCCACGUCGUAUGAACAGAGAUAUCUUGGCAUUGUACAAGGUUUUUGGAUGAUGUAUCGACAGAGGCAUCUCGAUGUUAUAUCAGUAAAGACAUCUCGAUAUAAUAAAAACAGAAUAAAGAUCUGAAAAAUACCAAGGCUAGAGCCUUCGGGGAUGUAGAGGCUAAGGCUUUAGAGGAUGCAGAGGCUAGGCACAUUGGAGGUGCCCAGGGCUAGUGCUCCGAAGAGUGUAAAAGGGUUCGUCCCUGGCAAGGGUUAAGGCUAUGAAGUAAUGCGACAGUUCGGCACCUUAGAGAUGUAUAAGGGAAUGCUCUAAACAGUGUAAAGAGACU